rfam:Tannerella sp. oral taxon BT063 isolate Cell 1/3 contig_2519917672, whole genome shotgun sequence.
GAGAGCCGGAUACGCUGGAAGGUGUACGUCCGGUUCGGAGGCGAGUUUUCGAAAACCGACCAUAGUAAUAUGGCACGGCGUCGGCUACUUAGCCUAC